rnacentral:rRNA from 1 species
CCUACGGGGGGCAGCAGUGAGGAAUAUUGGUCAAUGGGCGCGAGCCUGAACCAGCCAAGUCGCGUGAGGGAUGAAGGUUCUAUGGGUCGUAAACCUCUUUUAUAAGGGAGUCAAGUGUGGGACGUGUCCUAUUUUGUAUGUACCUUAUGAAUAAGGAUCGGCUAACUCCGUGCCAGCAGCCGCGGUAAUACGGAGGAUCCGAGCGUUAUCCGGAUUUAUUGGGUUUAAAGGGGGCGUAGGCGGCCUUUUAAGUCAGCGGUGAAAGUCUGUGGCUAAACCAUAGAAUUGCCGUUGAAACUGGGUGGCUUGAGUAUGUUUGAGGCAGGCGGAAUGCGUGGUGUAGCGGUGAAAUGCUUAGAUAUCACGCAGAACCCCGAUUGCGAAGGCAGCCUGCCAAGCCAUGACUGACGCUGAUGCACGAAAGCGUGGGGAUCAAACAGGAUUAGAUACCCUGGUAGUC